rnacentral:lncRNA from 1 species
UCAUGUCAUCACGUGCAUCGCAUUUACAUACAUGUUCAUCUCAUGCAUUCGAGCAUUUUCCCCGUUGUCCGUUUUGCAUUCCGGCGCUUCGUUCUCCUCCGGUGGCCAUUUCUAACUUUCUUUCGUGUGUGGGGAUUAAACCUUUCCGGAUUGGGCCGAGACUUGCCAUGCGGCCUUGGUUUACUACCGGUAGACCGCCUGUCAAGUUUCGGGUCAUUUGGACUUCGUUUGAUACUCCAACGGUUAACCAAGGGACCGAAAAGGCCUCGUGUGUGUGCAGCCCAACACCCCUCCAUUUUGGCCCAAAACCCACCAAACUCUGCUCCAUCGUCUUGGUCGUUCGAUCACGAUCGUGUGGGCGAAAACCGCACCUCAUUUGGACUCUCCUAGCUCCCUCUAGGUCUAUAAAUAGACCCCCCCCCAAAAUCCGGAUCUCUCCCCCGUCCAAACCCUAAAAAUCCUCCCUCGCGCCGGCCGGACGUGUCCGCUCCGGCCGGACAACGUCCGGCGCGACCCCGCCACCAAUUGCCGCCCGCCACAUGUCGGCGCCGCCCGCCGCCGCCGCCGGCCCGCGUAGGCCCGCGCCCGGCCCCCGCACCGCGCUCCCGGGCGAGACGCGCGNNNNNNNNNNNNNNNNNNNNNNNNNNNNNNNNNNNNNNNNNNNNNNNNNNNNNNNNNNNNNNNNNNNNNNNNNNNNNNNNNNNNNNNNNNNNNNNNNNNNNNNNNNNNNNNNNNNNNNNNNNNNNNNNNNNNNNNNNNNNNNNNNNNNNNNNNNNNNNNNNNNNNNNNNNNNNNNNNNNNNNNNNNNNNNNNNNNNNNNNNNNNNNNNNNNNNNNNNNNNNNNNNNNNNNNNNNNNNNNNNNNNNNNNNNNNNNNNNNNNNNNNNNNNNNNNNNNNNNNNNNNNNNNNNNNNNNNNNNNNNNNNNNNNNNNNNNNNNNNNNNNNNNNNNNNNNNNNNNNNNNNNNNNNNNNNNNNNNNNNNNNNNNNNNNNNNNNNNNNNNNNNNNNNNNNNNNNNNNNNNNNNNNNNNNNNNNNNNNNNNNNNNNNNNNNNNNNNNNNNNNNNNNNNNNNNNNNNNNNNNNNNNNNNNNNNNNNNNNNNNNNNNNNNNNNNNNNNNNNNNNNNNNNNNNNNNNNNNNNNNNNNNNNNNNNNNNNNNNNNNNNNNNNNNNNNNNNNNNNNNNNNCGGCGCACCUCCUCGCCGCGCGCCACCGCCCUCCGGCCUCCCCUCGCCGCCGACCGGUCGCCGGAGCCGGCCGCCAUCGCCGGAGGCUGAGCUGCUACAGUGCCCCGAGCCUCGCCCGAUCCAGAUCCGGUCGCAGCUACAGUAAACCCUAACCUCAAUUUUUUUCUAAGUCCUGAAAUUCUUGAUCCAUAUGCCUCUGUUCGGGGUCCCGUAUCUCCGUAACCGUAACUUCGAUUUGGGCAUAUUAUAUAUCAAAAUCUUCGUCUCGACGUGUACAUCAUUUCAUUCCAUUACAUCAUUUGCAUUUGAGGUCAUCUUGGUGCCCAAAAUGCUGUUGGAAGGAGGCAUCAUGAGUUAAAUUGCAGAUCCGUUAGCCCUACAUUGACGUUUGUCAUUUUUGCCAUGAUUAUUGUGUGCAUGAUAUGCCUGUGCCCCUUUGGGAUGAAUUGUUAAGCAUGUUGUCUUCUUUCCAGAGGUGCCUCCCAUGCAUUUUUAGGAUGUGUGUGUUGUCUUGUGCAAGCUUGCAAAGUAGGGUACCUGAGUUUACUGAUUUCAGGGACUUAGUGAAAAUCACUAAGUCUGGGAUGUUUUAGUUUGCGAUGCUAUAUGUCCAGCUUGUUUCCUAGUGAUCCGUGCCUCUUUUGAGGAUGAUCAGUAAGAGUGAUUUGUUAUGCUUGUUGUGCUUUAUCCAUCCAUGUCUUUACUUGUUAUGUUGGAGCAACCUAGGUUGACUCAAUCGAGCUCAUCUUUUGCAUAGUUGUUGUUUUGGGCAGAUCGUGAACUCUUUUGCGAUUUUGCCGGAGUUAUUGCUAGUGAUCCAUGCAUGCUAUGCCUUUGUUCUUGCCAUGUCUAGCUAGAAUUUUGUGCCUUCUUACUGGAUAUAUUCUUUCCUUGCCAUGACUUGCACCGUAGUGAGAGCAUCGAGCUCGUUUACAUGCCUCCGUGAGUUAUUAUUUCAGCAUGUCCCAGUUUUCACUAAGUCUGAAAACUGAUUGUGUUUCAUCGAUGUUCGUGUGCUUGGUGGAGUAUUUUGUGAACCCUUUUGGCCCCAGGUCAUUUUGGGUGUUUUGUUAAGAUUGUUGAGUAGCUCCAUGACAUGCUCUUACUUGCCAUGUUCAGGUUUUGCUUCAUGUUGUUUUGCUGCUCCGAAGAGAGCACCGUGGUCUGAAAUUUCAGACUAGCGUUAAUUUCGCUAAGUCUGAAAUCUGUUUUGCUUAUUCAGUUUUGCCAUGCUUGUUUGAAGCCCUUAAUGGAUGAAUUUGCCUAUGCCUCAGUCCUGGUGAUUUGUUAAGCUUCUUGAGUACAUCACUGCCAUGCAAUUUGUUUUCAUGUUUAGUGGCUGUAGCAUGUUCGUUUUGUUGCAUUUAGGAGCCUACUUGCUGUAAAUUGCAGAUCAGUUCGUUUAAUAAAACGCUUGCCAUUUCCAAACCGUAGCUCCGAUUGCCAUGAUCUUUAUAUCAUUUUCAGAGGAUUUCUUCCCCUCUAUCCAGUGGCACACUUGGUUUUCCAAGUUGAGGCAAGGUUCAUGCAUUUCCUGUCACGUCUUGCAUUUUUGCAUCCCGCAUCGCAUCCCGCAUAGCAUAUCAUCUUCGCAUCUUAUUGGUUGCCCUUGCACGUGGUUGAUUGUAUCCUUGUUGCUUGUUUGUGUUGUUGGGUAGAGCCGGGAGACGAGUUCGCUAAUGAGGAGCCCGUUGAGUUUGCUUUUGAGGAUCCAGUCAACUCUGACAACUCUGCAGGCAAGAUGAUCACACCCUUGAAAUCACUACUAUCUUUGCUAUGCUAGUUUGCUCGCUCUUUUGCUUUGCCAAUGCUACGAUGCCUACCACUUGCUUGUCAGCCUCCCAAUUGCCAUGAUCGAGCCUCUAACCCACCUUUGUCCUAGCAAACCAUUGAUUGGCUAUGUUACCGCUUUGCUCAGCCCUUCUUAUAGCGUUGUUAGUUGCAGGUGAAGAUUGGAGCCGUUCCUUGUUGGAACACUUAUUUACUUGUUGGGAUAUCAUUAUAUUGCUAUGUUAUCUUUACUCAUCUAUAUACUUGGUAAAGGGUGGAAGGCUCGGCCUCUCGCCUAGUGUUUUGUUCCACUCUUGCCGCCCUAGUUUCCGUCAUAUCGGUGUUAUGUUCCCGGAUUGUUGCGUCCCUUACGCGGUUGGGCUAUAUGGGAACCCCUUGAUAGUUCGCCUUGAUUAAAGCUUUUCCAGCAAUGCCCAACAUUGGUUUUACCAUUUGCCAGCUAGCCUCUUUUUCCCUUGGGUUUCCGGAGCCCGAGGGUCAUCUUUAUUUUAGCCCCCCACGGGCCAGUGCUCCUCUGAGUGUUGGUCCGAACCGAGCCACUUGCAGUGCCACCUCGGGGCAACUCGAGGGUUGGUUUUAGUUGUACGUAGUGUUCAUCUGAGUGUGCCCUGAGAAAGAGAUAUGUGCAGCUCCUAUCGGGAUUUGUCGGCACAUUCGGGCGGUGUUGCUGGACUAGUUUGGACCUGUCGAAUCAUCUUGUUGUACCGGGAUACCGAGUCUGAUCGGUGGGUCCUGGGUGGAGGUCUAUUCCUUCGUUGACCGUGAGAGCUUGUUAUGGGCUAAGUUGGGACCCCCCUGCAGGGAUUGAUCUUUCGAAAGCCGUGCCCGCAGUUGUAGAUAACUUGAACCUUAAAUAAUUAAAAUGAAUCAACUGAGUGUGUUGCCGUGAUGGCCUCUUCUCGGCGGAGUCCGGGAAGUGGACACGGCAUUGGAGUUAUGUUUGCGUAGGCUGCUCUAUAUAGUUUUCCGCUCGUGCUUUGCCUCCUCUUCUCGCUCUCCUUUGCGAAUAAGUUAGCCACCAUAUAUGCUAGUCGCUUGCUGCAGCUCCACUUACAUUACCCCUUUCCUACCUAUUAAGCUUAAAUAGUCUUGAUCGCGAGGGUGCGAGAUUGCUGAGUCCUUUGUGGCUCACAGGUUACUAUUACACCAGAUGCAGGGACCGAUGAUACCUCUCCGGAUGGCGCGCUCGAGCUGAAGUGGGACUACGACGAGGACUCUCAGCGUUACUAUGUGUCUUUUCCUGAUGAUCAGUAGGGAUGCCUAUUCGGGGUUAGAUCCAAGACCUAGUCGCUUGUUGGGUUUCUUUUCUAAUUUUGGCGCCGUAGUCAGGCCAUGAGUGAUUGUAUGAUGGAUGUUAUUUAUGUACUUUGAUGUGACGUGGCGAGUGUAAGCCAACUAUGCUAUUUUCCCCUUUAUAUUAUAUAUGUACAUGGGUUGUGUUAUGAUCCCGACUUGCGACAUUGCUUUCAAUGCGCCUAUGUCUCUAAGUCGUGCCUCGACACGUGGGAGACAUAGCCACAUCGAGGGCGUUACAAGUUGGUAAUCAGAGCCUUCCCCGACCUUAGGAGCCCCAUUGCUUGAUCGUUUUUAGCAGCCGAGUUGUGUCUAGAAAAAUGUUUUGAGUCCUUAGGAAUUAUAUAUCGGAGAGCUUAGGAAUUCUUUUUACUUCCCAGUCUCCUCAUCGCUCUGGUAAGGCAUCCUGACGUAGAGUUUGACUCUUCUCUUCUCAAAUUUCACUAAAUUUUUUUUAGGAUCACGCGAGUAUCUUGGUUUUGUUCCGAUUGCUUAUGAUGAGAAUACUGUCUUGGUGCCUCCUGACAGGGGUUUAGUGGAAGUGUCUCGGGGAGUUGAGCUCUGAGGUGUUGUCAUCAUAAUUCUAUCGUUGCAAUUCUGGCAUACUUGAGAUAUGUGCGCGACAUCGAAAAUCUCCUUUAUGCAGUUCGUUGGUGAGAUAACCUCGACGCCACCCAGUACUGGGGUGGGAGUUCGGGAGUAUCGCCAUAACUUGUAUAAUGGAUGCUUUUCAAAGGUUGAGAUAGAUGGUUUCUGAAGGUUUCUUGGUUAUGUGUUGAAGGAUGGAUGCAGCUGGAUGUAGGAUUUGCUAGCUUGGGUGAGAUAUUAUGCUUCCCCUGUAUCCCCAACACCUGAUUGCAUAACCGGAAAGUUUCGGGAGUUUCAUAGGUGGGAAUUCAAGUAGCCUUAGGAUAUCUUUCCAACAGAUGUGUGAUAUGAAAUUGGGGUUCGACGUCUAGUGGUUCGCCUAUUCACGGUCGAUUUUACAGUGGCCUCGUUGUGUCUUAAAGAGUCCUUGGCUAUGCUGACUCGGGGACGCUUCGUAUGUCAUGUGCACUGCCUUGUACAUGAUGGUGCUGUACGGUCGAGCCCGUGUAGGUCCUACCACGAAAACUUCGGACGAAAUUUCUAUCAUGUGUUUGUUCCGGCUUAUUUCGCAAGCCAACCCUUGGUUUUAUUUCGAGUUGUGGUAUUCGUUCUGCGUCGACGUCAUAUGUUGAUUCCAUCCCUCGUUGAUGUACCUCUUCUACCUGAUUCAUCGUGGCUUCGCAAUUUAGGAAUAUGUGACCACUUCAAGAGAAGUGCAUUCGUUCAUUUUGUUCGGAUGUGAAGACUUUAUGUUGCAAUUUUCAUUCCGUUGGAUUGACCUUCAUUAUUUCUCUAUUUGUGUGCUAACGGUGGUCAACCUCUUCAGGAUGGCUCCCGCUAAGAGCACCAGUCAGAACCAGAAUCAAGAUCCGCCGCCACCUCCGCCUCCUCCGGAAGCAUGGCAAGCUGUGAUGGCUGCUACUAAUGCAAAUACUCAGCUGAUCAUGCAAAUCAUCCAAGAGCGGAAUCAAAGCAGUCAAGCAAAUCAAGGCAACAACCAGAACCAUUUUGCAACUCUGAAUCAGUUCCUCGCAAAUGGUCCAAAGACGUUCAGCAACUGCGUUGAGGCUACCGAUGCUGAUGAUUGGUUAGUCGAUCUGGGCAAGCAUUUUGAAUGCAGCAACGUCAGACCUGAAGAUUUCGUCAAAUUCGCGUCUUUCCAGCUCAAGGAUCAGGCCGCAGAGUGGUUUCAGCAGUACCAGGAUUCCAGAGGCGGACGUUUGAUCACUUGGGAUGAUUUCCGUCGUGAUUUCCGAGCUCAUCACAUCCCUCAAAGUGUGACUGAAAGCAAACGUGAAGAAUUCCGCAAUCUGAAGCAAGGCUCUUUGUCUGUCUAUGACUACAACAAGUUGUUCCAGAAGCUCGCCCGUUUUGCCAAGCAGGAUGUUCCUGAUGAGAAGAGCAUGAUCUAUCAGUUCAGGGGUGGUCUUCGUGAAGAAAUUCAGCUCGCUCUUGUCCUCUUCGAGCCGCUGAGAUACGAUGAGUUCUACAACAUGGCAUUGAAGCAAGAGGCUGCUUAGCUAAGGUGUGAUGCUUCCAGGAAGCGAGUCAGAGACACUACGUCUUCUUCCUCUACUCAAGUGGCCAAGCAGCAGAAGUAUUGGCUUCCUCCUCCUCCGUUCCGUCAGCCGUAUCAGCAGAAGAGCAAAGGUGGCAGUGGUUCAUCCCACCCACCCAACCCAGGCUUUCAGAACAAGACUUCGUCUCAAGCUUCAAGAUCGAGUGCUUCGUACCACCGUCCGCUCUCAGAGGUCACGUGCAACAAGUGCCAACAGAAGGGUCACUAUGCCAAUAAGUGUUUCAACCAGAGGCGUCUUCCUCCUCCUCCUCCUAUCAGAUCGGCAAGUACAGCUGUGGUCAAGCAUAAUCCCAAGCACGCCAAGGUCAACUUGCUGAAUGCAGCUCAGGCAGAGGACUCGCCAGAUGUGAUUAUGGGUAACCUUCCUGUUAACGAUGUUCCCGCUAAAGUACUUUUUGAUACUGGUGCAUCGCUUUCUUUUAUUUCAACUCCAUUUGUGGCCAAGCAUGAUAUUGUGACCGAAAGGAUUCCUGUUCCGUUGAAGAUUGUGUCUCCGGGCAAGCAAAUGACUUCUAACAAUUGUGUCCCGGAUAUUUCUAUCACAUUGGGCGAUUACAAGUUUCUCUCUUCUCCGGUGGUUCUUGGUAAUUCUGAUAUCGACCUCAUUCUUGGGAUGGACUGGUUCUCUAAACACAAGGCUCACCUCGAUUGUGCAGCCAGACAGAUUCAACUGACUCAUUCAUCUGAAGAUGUCAUUGUUUUUGCUGCUCGGGAUAAUACCAUCCGGUUGUUCUCUCUCAAUGAGAAGGGUGAAUUGGAUGCUGUUUCGCAGAUUCUGGUUGUUUGUGAGUAUCAAGAUGUCUUCCCAGAAGAACUCCCAGGCAUGCCUCCAAACCGGCCGGUUGAAUUUGUUAUUGAACUUGAGCCCGGUACGGAACCUGUGUGCAAACGUCCCUACAAGCUCGGCCCCGAAGAGUUGAAGGAGUUGAAGAAACAACUCGAUGUUCAAGAAAGAAUGGGUCUCAUUCGGCCUAGUACUUCCCCGUGGGGUUGUGGUGUUCUUUUUGUGAAGAAGAAGGAUGGAACGGACCGACUUUGUGUUGAUUACCGUCCAUUGAACAAGAAGACCAUCAAGAACAAAUACCCACUUCCCAACAUCAAUGAGCUGUUCGAACAACUCAAGGGUGCCCAAGUAUUCUCCAAGCUUGACCUCCGUAUGGGUUAUCACCAAAUUCGCAUUCGUGAGCAAGAUAUUCCCAAGACGGCGUUCAGAACAAGCUAUGGGUCAUAUGAAUACACUGUCAUGUCUUUUGGCCUCGCCAACGCUCCUCCGAUGUUCUCUCGCAUGAUGAACUUCAUCAUCAACCCCUACACCAAUGACUUCGUUUUGGUCUAUCUCGACGACAUUCUGGUUUUCUCGAAGAACAAGGAAGAUCAUGCCAAGCACUUGCGUUUGGUUCUUGACAAGCUAAGGGAACAUCAGUUCUACGCCAAGUUCUCCAAGUGUGAAUUUUGGCUCGAUGAGGUGCUUUAUCUUGGCCAUAUCAUCUCUGCCAAGGGCAUUUCCGUGGAUCCUGAGAAGGUGUCUGCAAUCGUUAAUUGGGAACCUCCUCAGAAUGUGAAGCAACUCCGUAGCUUCCUCGGUCUUGCAAGUUAUUGCCGAAGAUUCGUUGAAAACUUUUCCAAGAUCGCGAAGCCUCUCUCAAAUCUUCUUCAGAAGCACGUCAAGUACGUUUGGUCUCCGGAGUGUGAUAUUGCUUUCAAAGCUUUGAAAGAGAAAUUGAUCACUGCUCCAGUACUAACUCCGCCCGAUGAAACCAAGCCGUACGAGGUCUUUUGUGAUGCCUCUCUCCAAGGUCUAGGUGCUGUACUGAUGCAAGAGAAGAAAGUUGUUGCUUAUACCUCUCGCCAGUUGAAGCCUAAUGAGAAGAACUACCCCACUCAUGAUCUCGAGUUGGCGGCAGUUGUGCACGCAUUGUUGACUUGGAGACAUCUUCUCUUGGGAAGGAAAGUGGACAUUUUGACUGAUCACAAGAGUCUCAAGUACAUCUUCACUCAGCCUAAUCUCAACCUCAGGCAGACUCGAUGGGUCGAAAUGAUUCAAGAGUACAAUCCGAGUAUUGAGUAUACUCCAGGCAAGGCUAAUGUGAUUGCUGACGCUUUGAGCAGAAAAGCAUAUUGCAACAGUCUGAUUCUCAAGCCUUAUCAACCCGAGAUCUGUGAAGCUUUCCGCAAACUUAAUCUGCAAGUUGUUCCUCAAGGUUUCCUCGUCAACCUUCAAGUUUCUCCUACCUUGGAAGACCAGAUUCGCCAAGCCCAGCUUCUUGAUGCUAUGGUGAAAAAGGUGAAGAUUGGUAUUGCAAAGAGUCAGUCCAAGUACAAGUGCUACCGACUUGAUGACAAGGACACUCUCUUCUUCGAGGAUCAAAUUGUUGUGCCCAAAGGUGAACUUCGUAAAGUGAUCAUGAAUGAGGCUCAUAACUCUCUCCUCUCCAUCCACCCUGGGAGCACGAAGAUGUAUGAAGAUCUGAAGCAAACCUAUUGGUGGACUCGAAUGAAGCGCGAGAUCGCUCAAUUCGUGAAUGAAUGUGAUGUCUGCAGAAGAGUGAAGGCAGAACACCAAAGGCCAGCAGGUCUCCUCCAACCUCUCGCCAUUCCAGAAUGGAAGUUUGACCACAUUGAAAUGGACUUCGUGACUGGGUUUCCUAAGUCCAAGCGUGGCAAUGAUGCUAUAUUCGUUGUCAUCGACAAGCUCACCAAAGUGGCUCAUUUCCUGCCCAUCAAAGAGUCAAUCACUGCAGCUCAAUUGGCGGAGAUCUACACCUCUCGAAUUUUCUCUCUGCACGGUAUUCCUCAAGUGAUAUCUUCAGAUCGUGGCAGCAUCUUUACCUCCAAGUUUUGGGAUUCUUUUCAGAAGGCCAUGGGCACCAACAUUCGCUUCAGCACUGCUUUCCAUCCUCAAACAAGCGGUCAAGUCGAGCGUGUCAACCAGAUUCUUGAAGAUAUGCUCGGGGCUUGUGUUAUCUCCUUCGGCAUGAAGUGGGAGGAUUGCCUUCCUUAUGCUGAAUUCUCGUACAACAACAGUUUCCAAGCAAGUUCCGGCAAGGCCCCAUUUGAAAUUCUGUAUGGUAGGAAGUGCUGUACACCUCUCAACUGGUCUGAAACCGGUGAACGUCAGCUGCUGGGUAAUGACCUGAUCACAAAGGCAGAAGAAAUGUGCAAGGUCAUUCGUGAUAACCUCAAAGCAGCCCAAUCCUGCCAGAAGAGCUACUAUGAUAGUAAGCACCGUGAUUUGGCUUUCGAGAUCGGAGAUCAUGUCUACCUCCGCGUCUCUCCUAUGAAAGGGACUUGUUGCUUCGGUAUCAAAGGGAAGCUUGCCCCCAGAUACGUCGGGCCUUUCAAGAUCGUCAGCAAGAGAGGCGACCUCGCCUAUCAAUUCGAGCUUCCUGCAAAUUUUGCCAAUGUUCAUGAUGUGUUCCAUGUCUCGCAACUCCGAAAGUGCUUCAAGACGCCUGAGCGCACCGUCAACUUCGAGGGCAUUGAGCUCCAAGAAGAUCUCUCCUACCGUGAGGACCCAGUUGCAAUCCUGGAAGAGACUGAACGCAAAACUCGCAACAAGUCAAUCAAAUUUCUCAAAGUCAAGUGGUCACACCAUUCCGACCGUGAAGCUACCUGGGAACGCGAGGAUCACCUCCGUUCUGAGUACCCGGAGUUCUUUCAGUCCUAGAUCUCGGGAUGAGAUCUUUUCGUAUUGGUGGAGUGUUGUAACGCCCCAUAUGUAACCUUCCCGAAUUGUACUCCAACUCUUGCCAUUUCCGGCAUUAAGUUAUAUUUAAUUCUCGGGUUCGGGUCUUUGUCUCCGUGUGUGGUUUAUGUUUUCGUGCAUCUCAUAUCAUGUCAUCACGUGCAUUGCAUUUGCAUACAUGUUCAUCUCAUGCAUUUGAGCAUUUUCCCCGUUGUCCGUUUUGCAUUUCGGCGCUUCGUUCUCCUCCGGUGGCCAUUUCUAACUUUCUUUCGUGUGUGGGGAUUAAACAUUUCCGGAUUGGGCCGAGACUUGCCAUGCGGCCUUGGUUUACUACCGGUAGACCGCCUGUCAAGUUUCGGGUCAUUUGGACUUCGUUUGAUACUCCAACGGUUAACCGAGGGACCGAAAAUGCCUCGUGUGUGUGCAGCCCAACACCCCUCCAUUUUGGCCCAAAACCCACCAAACUCUGCUCCAUCGUCUCGGUCGUUCGAUCACGAUCGUGUGGGCGAAAACCGCACCUCAUUUGGACUCUCCUAGCUCCCUCUAGGUCUAUAAAUAGACCCCCCCGAAAUCCGGAUCUCUCCCCUAUCCAAACCCUAAAAAUCCUCCCUCGCGCCGGCCGGACGUGUCCGCCCCGGCCGGACAACGUCCGGCGCGACCCCGCCACCAAUCGCCGCCCGCCACGUGUCGGCGCCNNNNNNNNNNNNNNNNNNNNNNNNNNNNNNNNNNNNNNNNNNNNNNNNNNNNNNNNNNNNNNNNNNNNNNNNNNNNNNNNNNNNNNNNNNNNNNNNNNNNNNNNNNNNNNNNNNNNNNNNNNNNNNNNNNNNNNNNNNNNNNNNNNNNNNNNNNNNNNNNNNNNNNNNNNNNNNNNNNNNNNNNNNNNNNNNNNNNNNNNNNNNNNNNNNNNNNNCCUCUUCUCCCCCGCGUCCGGCCACCGCCCCGCCGCCGUGCGCCUCUCCGGCGAGCCACCACCUCGCCGGCCCCGCGCCGCCCCACUCUGUCCUCCACGCCGGAGCUCGCCGCCGCCUCGCCCGGGGCUCGCCGCGUCUCCUCACGCCGGCCCGCGCCGCCCCGGCGCACCUCCUCGCCGCGCGCCACCACCCUCCAGCCUCCCCUCGCCGCCGACCGGUCGCCGGAGCCGGCCGCCAUCGCCGGAGGCCGAGCUGCUACAGUGCCCCGAGCCUCGCCGGAUCCAGAUCCGGUCGCAGCUACAGUAAACCCUAACCUCGAUUUUUUUCUAAGUCCUGAAAUUCUUGAUCCAUAUGCCUCUGUUCGGGGACCCGUAUCUCCGUAACCGUAACUCCGAUUUGGGCAUAUUAUAUAUCAAAAUCUUUGUCUCGACGAGUACAUCAUUUCAUUCCAUUGCAUCAUUUGCAUUUGAGGUCAUCUUGGUACCCAAAAUGCUGUUGGAAGGAGGCAUCAUGAGUUAAAUUGCAGAUCCGUUAGCCCUACAUUGACUUUUGUCAUUUUUGCCAUGAUUAUUGUGUGCAUGAUAUGCCUGUGCCCCUUUGGGAUGAAUUGUUAAGCAUGUUGUCUUCUUUCCAAAGGUGCCUCCCAUGCAUUUUUAGGAUGUGUGUGUUGUCUUGUGCAAGAUUGCAAAGUAGGGUACCUGAGUUUACUGAUUUCAGGGACUUAGUGAAAAUCACUAAGUCUGGGAUGUUUUAGUUUGCGAUGCUAUAUGUCCAGCUUGUUUCCUAGUGAUCCGUGCCUCUUUUGAGGAUGAUCAGUAAGAGUGAUUUGUUAUGCUUGUUGUGCUUAAUCCAUCCAUGUCUUUACUUGUUAUGUUGGAGCACCCUAGGUUGACUCAAUCGAGCUCAACUUUUGCAUAGUUGUUGUUUUGGGCAGAUCGUGAACUCUUUUGCGAUUUUGCCGGAGGUAUUGCUAGUGAUCCAUGCAUGAUAUGCCUUUGUUCUUGCCAUGUCUAGCUAGCAUUUUGUGCCUUCUUAAUGGAUAUAUGCUUGCCUUGCCAUGACUUGCACCGUAGUGAGAGCAUCGAGCUUGUUUACAUGCCUCCGUGAGUUAUUAUUUCAGCAUGUCCCAGUUUUCACUAAGUCUGAAAACUGAUUGUGUUUCAUCGAUGUUCGUGUGCUCGGUGGAGUAUUUUAUGAACCCUUUUGGCCCCAGGUCAUUUUUGGUGUUUCGUUAAUCUUGUUGAGUAGCUCCAUGCCAUUCUCUUAGUUGCCAUGUUCAGGUUUUGCUUCAUGUUGUUUUGCUGCUCCGAAGAGAGCACCGUGGUCUGAAAUUUCAGACUAGCGUUAAUUUCGCUAAGUCUGAAAUCUGUUUUGCUUAUUCAGUUUUGCCAUGCUUGUUUGAAGCCCUUAAUGGAUGAAUUUGCCUAUGCCUCAGUCCUGGUGAUUUGUUAAGCUUCUUGAGUAAAUCACUGCCCUGCAAUUUGUUUUCAUGUUUAGUGGCUGUAGCAUGUUCAUUUCGUCGCAUUUAGGAGCCUACUUGCUGUAAAUCGCAGAUCGGUUCGUUUAAUAAAACGCUUGCCAUUUCCAAACCGUAGCUCCGAUUGCCAUGAUCUUUAUAUCGUUUUCAGGGGAUUUCUUCCCCUCUAUCCAGUGGCACACUUGGUUUUCCAAGUUGAGGUCAGGUUCAUGCAUUUCCUGUCACGUCUUGCAUUUUUGCAUCCCGCAUCGCAUCCCGCAUAGAAUAUCAUCUUCGCAUCUUAUUAGUUGCCCUUGCACGUGGUUGAUUGUAUCCUUGUUGCUUGUUUGUGUUGUUGGGUAGAGCCGGGAGACGAGUUCGCUAACAAGGAGCCCAUUGAGUUUGCUUUUGAGGAUCCAGUCAACUCUGACAACUGUGCAUGCAAGAUGAUCACACCCUUGAAAUCACUACUAUCUUUGCUAUGCUAGUUUGCUCGCUCUUUUGCUUUGCCAAUGCUAUGAUGCCUACCACUUGCUUGUCAGCCUCCCAAUUGCCAUGAUCGAGCCUCUAACCCACCUUUGUCCUAGCAAACCAUUGAUUGGCUAUGUUACCGCUUUGCUCAGCCCUUCUUAUAGCGUUGUUAGUUGCAGGUGAAGAUUGGAGCCGUUCCUUGUUGGAACACUUAUUUACUUGUUGGGAUAUCAUUAUAUUGCUAUGUUAUCUUUACUCAUCUAUAUACUUGGUAAAGGGUGGAAGGCUCGGCCUCUCGCCUAGUGUUUUGUUCCACUCUUGCCGCCCUAGUUUCCGUCAUAUCGGUGUUAUGUUCCCGGAUUGUUGCGUCCCUUACGCGGUUGGGCUAUAUGGGAACCCCUUGAUAGUUCGCCUUGAUUAAAGCUUUUCCAGCAAUGCCGAACAUUGGUUUUACCAUUUGCCAGCUAGCCUCUUUUUCCCUUGGGUUUCCGGAGCCCGAGGGUCAUCUUUAUUUUAGCCCCCCACGGGCCAGUGCUCCUCUGAGUGUUGGUCCGAACCGAGCCACUUGCAGCGCCACCUCGGGGCAACUCGAGGGUUGGUUUUAGUUGUACGUAGUGUUCAUCUGAGUGUGCCCUGAGAAAGAGAUAUGUGCAGCUCCUAUCGGGAUUUGUCGGCACAUUCGGGCGGUAUUGCUGGACUAGUUUUGACCUGUCGAAUCAUCUUGUUGUACCGGGAUACCGAGUCUGAUCGGUGGGUCCUGGGUGGAGGUCUAUUCCUUCGUUGACCGUGAGAGCUUGUUAUGGGCGAAGUUGGGACCCCCCUGCAGGGAUUGAUCUUUCGAAAGCCGUGCCCGCGGUUAUGGGCAGAUGGGAAUUUGUUAAUGUCCGGUUGUAGAUAACUUGAACCUUAAAUAAUUAAAAUGAAUCAACUGAGUGUGUUGCCGUGAUGGCCUCUUCUCGGCGGAGUCCGGGAAGUGGACACGGCGUUGGAGUUAUGUUUGCGUAGGCUGCUCUAUAUAGUUUUCGCUCAUGCUUUGCCUCCUCUUCUCGCUCUCCUUUGCGAAUAAGUUAGCCACCAUAUAUGCUAGUCGCUUGCUGCAGCUCCACUUACAUUACCCCUUUCCUACCUAUUAAGCUUAAAUAGUCUUGAUCGCGAGGGUGCGAGAUUGCUGAGUCCUUUGUGGCUCACAGAUUACUAUUACACCAGAUGCAGGGACCGAUGAUACCUCUCCGGAUGGCGCGCUCGAGCUGAAGUGGGAGUACGACGAGGACUCUCAGCGUUACUAUGUGUCUUUUCCUGAUGAUCAGUAGGGAUGCCUAUUCGGGGUUAGAUCCAGGACCUAGUCGCUUGUUGGGUGUCUUUUCUAAUUUUGGCACCGUAGUCGGGCCAUGAGUGAUUGUAUGAUGGAUGUUAUUUAUGUACUUUGAUGUGACGUGGCGAGUGUAAGCCAACUAUGCUAUUUUUCCCCUUUAUAUUAUAUAUGUACAUGGGUUGUGUUAUGAUUGCCGACUUGCGACAUUGCUUUCAAUGCGCCUAUGUCUCUAAGUCGUGCCUCGACACGUGGGAGACAUAGCCGCAUCGAGGGCGUUACAGGAAACCCCUUGACAGUUCGCCAUAAGUAAAGCUCUUCCAGCAAUGCCCAACAUUGGUUUUACCAUUUGCCACCUAGCCUUUUCUUUCCCUUGAGCCGGUCGGUUCAAGGGUCAUCGUUAUUUUACCCCCCCGGGCCAGUGCUCCUCUGAGUGUUGGUCCAAACUAGAGCCCCUUGCAGCGCCACCUCGGGGAAACUCGAGGGCUGGUUUUAGUUGUACGGAAUGCUCAUCUGAGUGUGCCCUGAGAAAGAGAUAUGUGCAGCUCCUAUCGGGAUUUGUCGGCACAUUCGGGCGGUGUUGCUGGUUUAGUUUUACCCUGUCGAAAUGUCUUGUUGUACCGGGAUGCCGAGUCUGAUCGGAACGUCUUGGGUGGAGGUCUAUUCCUUCGUUGACCUUGAGAGCUUGUGAUGGGCUAAGUUGGGACACCCCUGCAGGGAUUUGAGCUUUUGAAAACCGUGCCCGCGGUUAUGGGCAGAUGGGAAUUUGUUAACGUCCGGUUGUAGAAAACCUGAAAUUGACCGUAAUUAAAAUACAUCAACCGCAUGUGUAACCGUGAUGGUCUCUUUCCGGCGGAGGCCGGGAAGGGAACACGGUUGUUGGAGUUAUGCUUGACGUAGGUUGCUAUAGGAUCACUUCUUGAUCAUAGUUUCUCGACCGUGCUUUGCCUUCUCUUCUCGCUCUCAUUUGCGUAUGUAGCCACCAUAUAUGCUAGUCGCUUGCUGUAGAUCCACCUCAUACUUUUACCUUGCCCAUAAGCUUAAAUAGUCUUGCUCGCGAGGGUGCGAGAUUGCUGAGUCCCCGUGGCUCACAGAUACUUCCAAAACCAGCUUGCAGGUGCCGAUGAGUCCGUGCAGAUGACGCAACCAAGCUCAGGAGGAGCUCGAUGAAGAUCUUGUCCUUUAUGUUGUUUCGUUCUAGUUGAUUAGUAGUGGAGCCCAGUUGGGGUCGAUCGGGGACCUUUGUCGCAUUUGGGGUUCUUCUUUUAUUUUGGUUCCGUAGUCGGACCUUGAUUGUAUCUGGAUGAUGUAAUGCUUUAUUCAUGUAAUUGUGUGAAGUGGCGAUUGUAAGCCAACUAUGUACCUUUUCCCUUAUGUAUUACAUGGGUUGUGUGAAGAUUACCUCACUUGCGACAUUGCUUUCAAUGCGGUUAUGCCUCUAAGUCGUGCUUCGACGCGUGGGAGAUAUAGCUGCAUCGAGGGCGUUAAAAGUUGGUAAUCAGAGCCUUCCCCGACCUUAGGAGCCCCCAUUGCUUGAUCGUUUUAGCAGCCGAGUUGUGCCUAGAAAAAUGUUUUGAGUCAUUUAGGAAUUAUAUAUCGGAGAGUUUAGGAAUUCUUUUUUACUUCCCAGUCUCCUCAUCGCUCUGGUAAGGCAUCCUGACGUAGAGUUUUGACUCUUCUCUUCUCAAAUUUCACUAAUUUUUUUUAGGAUCACGCGGGUAUCUUGGAAUCGUUCCGAGGGUUUUGUGAAGAGAACAUUGUCUUGGUGCCUCCUGUCAGGGGUUUUGUGGAAGUGUCUCGGGGAGUUGAGAUCUGAGGUGUUGUCGUCAUAAUUUUAUCAUUGCAGUUCUGGAAUACCUGAGUUUAGUACGCCGACAUCGAAAAUCUCUUUUAUGUAGUUCGUUGGUGAGAUAACCUCGACGCCACCCAGUACUGGGGCGGGAGUUCGGGAGUAUUGCCAUAACUUGUAUAACGGAUGCUUUUCGAAGGUUGAGGUAGAUGAUUUCCGAAGGUUUCUUGGUUAUGUGUUGAAGGAUGGAUACAGCUGGAUGUACGAUUUGCUAGUUUGGGUGAGAUAUUAUGCUUCCCCUGUAUCCCCAACACCUGAUUGCAUAACCGGAAAAUUUCAGGAGUUUCAUAGGUGGGAAUUCAAGUAGCUCUUAGGACAUCUUUUUGACGGAUGUAUGAUAUGAAAUUGGGGUUCGACGUCUAGUGGUCCACCUAUUCACGGUCGGUUUUACAGUGGUCUCGUUGUGUCUUAAAGAGUCCUUGGCUAUGCCGACUCGGGGACGCUUCGUAUGUCAUGUGCACUGCCUUGUACAUGAUCGUGCUGUAUGAUCGAGCCCGUGUAGGCCCCACCACGAAAACUUCGGACGAAAUCUCUAUCAUAUGUUUGUUCUGGCUUAUUCUGCAAGCCAAUCCUUUGUUUUGUUUUGACUUUUGGUAUUCAAGUUGCUUCGAAGUCAAAUGUUGAUUCCAUACCUUUCCUAAGUGGUGUUCUCAUACUCCGAUGUGAAUACUAAUCCUUCUUGAUAAUCGACAUUGUCAUGACAAUACUUUUCAACCGGUGUUGUUUCUUUUCAAUUGGAUCCGAUCAUUUCAACAUUCGCAAGAUCAACUCAAGUCUUCUCAACGGUGUUUGUUUCAUCCGUUCCAAGUUGUCUUUGUUUUCCCCACCCACCCACCCUUCUUCUUCGAGGACUCAGAUUUCUUAUUCAAGUAUCCGUUUAUUGAUGGGAAGCUUCUCCAUUCCUUUUUCCGUCAAUAUUCUUAUCCGGUGAUUCUCAGGAAGAUGCUAACGAAGCUUCAAGUUCGUCUCUCAUCACUUGUUUUCUUCUUCGGUGGAACCAAUUCAAGCUUUCGGUGUUGGUCAUAUCUUUUUCUUCGUUUCAAAUGCCUUCUCAUAACGGUGCACCUCUUAAUCAUUCACCUCUCGCUAUUCAUUUGUUCCGGAGUGCUCAAGAUAUCUCGAAGAUUUGUGUUUUCCACUCUGCAUUCAUUCAAGAUCUUUCAAGGAUGUUAUCUCAUUCAAGCCAUUUAAUUCAACCGGUGCAAUCUCUCCUUUAAAUCAUUCUACGGUGUUUCUUUGAGUGGGCCCUAACCCACAGGUCUUUUCCCAGGAUCUUACCUGACUCUUCUUAUUCUCCCUGAGUUAUUCUCAAAUCUUCUAAAGUUUGACGUAAGAAUGAAUUAUCAUCAGUCAAAUGUUUUUCUCCAAGAUCUUUCAAAUUCUUUUCAUUGUUGGCUCAACCUCUUCGUUUGAUUAUUCCGGAGUGCCUCAACAAUUCUUGGUAGUGUUUCUCAUCAUCAUUCUCUGCAUUUCAAGACCGAAGAAGAUUUUUCCUCCAUAUCUAUCUGUUCUCUCGGAGAUUCGUAAUUCUAGUUCGAGUCUAUCCUCUCAAAAUUGUUUUCAAUUGUGACAAAUCUUUUGAUCCUUCCGGAGCAAUUCAAGAGUGUUCUCAGUUUGUUAUCUGGAGUCGAUCAGUUCAGGUUUAUUCAUUCUCAGCUUUCAGUUAUCAUUCUCCAAUCUUAUCGGUGGUUCGUUCAAUAUUUUCCCAAGUUGGCGCUAUAUCUAUCUUAAUGAUCUCUAGGAGAAUAAGUAGUAUGUCAAAUCCAUUGCUUGUCAUCAAUUAAAUUGGUGAAGGUUAUGCAUAAUGUAAUUCUUAUUCUUGUUUCAUCCGUAUGUUAAUCUGAGUUGUUCACAAUGAUUAAAUUCUUGAUCUCAAUUGUUCAUCUUCUCUUUUCUCGAAGUUCCAACCUUUUUCAAUUAGUUCAUCACGGAGAUCUAUCUAAAUCUUUACAAGGCUCCACCUUGUGUUUUCAACUACCCUUUCUUUCCGUUUGAUCAUUCUUUUGUUUAACGGAGUUCUUCAUGAAGGUUCUACAUGAUGGUUCAUCAAGGAUUAUAUUCCUUCUCGAAGUGUUCAUCAAGAUUCUUUUCAGAGGAACUCAAGCAUUCUUUAUCUUGCAUUUUAAAGUGCAAUUCUUUCAACCGUAUCGUUUGAGGUGGUAUUAUGUCAUUCUUGAUAAUUUGAGUUCAUGUUUUCAUGAUUCACAUGUUGUCAAGAAUGAGAUAUUUUAAAUCCAUCAAUCUCGUCAUUGAAGUUAUCCUGGGUUAUAUUUCACCUAUAGCCUUCCCUAAGGAUUGUUUUUAACUUUGGUGCUUAUAGAUGACCCAAGUUCUUCAUUUGUCCUUUCGGCGAAUAGCUUCUCGUCUCCUUGUUCUUAUCAAUCCAAUUCUUUUCCCAUGAGUGGCAGGUUGUCACCUUAUAAUUUGAGAUGUAUUCCAUAAGACCAUAUCAAGCUUAUUCUUCUCAUUGUUGGUUUUCCAACAAUUCUGUUCGACCCUUCCCCUGAAGAUGCCUCUUCGAGCUCUUUUGUGGCAGAAGUUGGCAUUUUCUUCUCAAUUCUCCUAUGGCAAGUAUCUAUCUUCUAUUCUUUUGUUCCGGAGGCAUUGUGAUGCUGCUCUCUUCUACCCAUCUUUUUGUUUUGUCAUGAUAGUGUUCUUUUCUUUGCUUAUCCAUUCAACCGGAGUGUCGUGUUUUCUUUCGAGCUCUCUCAUCUUAUCGAAUUUUGCAUCCCUUCUCAACCGGAGUGCUGUCCAAAUUAUAUCAUUCUUAAUACUUUUCUAUCUUUUUAUAACCGGAGUGGUUUCAAUUUUUAUCUUGCCCUUCAAACUCAAGGCUUUUCGCAAUGUUCUUUGUUCCUCUUUUCUAAAGGGGUGUUUAUGACCUUGUUCACCUUCAUUGUAUUCUGUCUCGAACUUAUUCAACUUCUCAAGGUUCUUUGGUUUCAGUCAUUCGUCAAAGAAGCAACUAGUUUUACCUCUUCUCUUUCUCUUCCGUUGUCUCUCCGGUGCCAUUCUAGAUCUCGGGACGAGAUCCUCUCGUAGUGGUGGAGUGUUGUAACGCCUCGAGACCGAUGUGCCAGGUGUCGUCCAGUUAUUCGCUGUUGUUGCCAUGUCAUUGCUUGCGUGUCAUGCAUUGCAUAUCAUGUCAUCAUGCGCAUUUCAUUUGCAUACAUGUUCGUCUCAUGCAUCCGAGCAUUUUCCGCGUUGUCCGUUUUGCAAUUCGGCGCUUCGUUCUCCUCCGGUGGUCAUUUCUACCUUUCUUUCAUGUGUGGGGUUUAAACAUUUCCGGAUUGGACUUAGACUUGUCAUGCGGCCUUGGUUUACUACCGGUAGACCGCUUGUCAAGUUUCGUGCCAUUUGGACUUCGUUUGAUGCUCCAACGGUUAACCGAGGGACCGAAAAGGCCUCGUGUGUGUUGCAGCCCAACACCCCUCCAUUUUGGCCCAAAACCCACCUAAACCUCCUCCAUCAUCUCGGUCGUUCGAUCACGAUCGCGUGGCCGAAAACCACACCUCAUUUGGACUCUCCUAGCUCUCUCUACCUAUAAAUAU